AUUGAACGCUGGCGGCAGGCCUAACACAUGCAAGUCGAGCGGAGCGGCGGACGGGUGAGUAAUGCCUAGGAAUCUGCCUGGUCGUGGGGGAUAACGUCCGGCAACGGGCGCUAAUACCGCAUCCUAUCAGAUGAGCCUAGGUUGGAUUAGCUAGUUGGUGGGGUAAAGGCCUACCAAGGCGACGAUCCGUAACUGGUCUGAGAGGAUGAUCAGUCACACUGGAACUGAGACACGGUCCAGACUCCUAAGGGAGGCAGCAGUGGGGAAUAUUGGACAAGGGGGGAAAGCCUGAUCCAGCCAUGCCGCGUGUGUGAAGAAGGUCUUCGGAUUGUAAAGCACUUUAAGUUGGGAGGCGGUACCAAAAGAAUAAGCACCGGCUAACUUCGUGCCAGCCGCCGCGGUAAUUG
rnacentral:rRNA from 1 species